rnacentral:lncRNA from 7 species
UCGAUGAUCCAAGGAAAUCAACACGCUCUUCUGUGGUGCAUUUUUUCCUCUCUCAACAAAAACUGCCUUCUGUGAUACCAGUGCAGCUCCACCAGUCCUAGGAACUGUAGGAACAUUGUUAGGAUGAAAAUAACACUCAUGUUUUCCCACUUCCCCAAUCGUAAUGCAGGUGGCAGUAGAGUGAGGUGCCUGUAGCUAUCCACACCACCUGGUAUUAAAAUUAGCACCCUGACUGCUGCCAGUGGACCUGCAUAGGUGUUGGGAAUGUAGUGAAUGCCCACUCAGCGUAGGCAUGACUUGGAACUGUGGAACUGAGGAACUGAAAAUGUUUGAAAAGUCCUUCUGUAGAGAGAAGAGAGGAUACAAAAGCCUGAUUAGUUAGUCCUUGCAGGCUUCCGUGGCUAGGAAGGUGUUGGCAAUAUUGCUCUAAAAUGGGUUAUAAAUCCUUAUGACUUGGGUCAUUAAAGAACUGUUUCUCUCCCUAUUUUGCUUUGCUCUAAAUGAACUGAGAACUUCUACAAAGAGGAAGAAAAUCCCUCUGCAUUCAGGAAAAACCGGAAGGUGAGGAAGCAAGCUGUGUUUUUACCGUUCUUUGCUUUCUUGUUUCAUUUUGCUUCCAGCUCCACCGACUUGACACAUGCUCUGGUUUCCCCCAACAUGUAUGUGGAAUACUCUGGUCUUGCCUCUUGAGACCAUGACCCAAGCAUGUCGUCUCUUCAGCUGCUAAAUUCUUCCUAUCUCACGUGUUCUCUUUCCUCCAGCAAAUAAUAAUUUAUACUUUUUUCAUGUUUUUCACCUGGACUCUCGUCUGCUUGGAACUGACACUACCAAUUGAUUUCAUGUAAUGCACACAGCACAGUCUAAAUAUAUUUAUUUCCGUCUACAUAUAUGUAGGGUUCAGACAUUAAAAUCGAUGCCUCGGACAUGAAAGGUUUCAUUCUCUAUAAAUAACUCUUGAGCCAUUCAUUUCAGCUCCCCAGACAGAGAAUCAGCAACGGAGUAUGUGAUCUGGAAGAUGAGAUUUGAAAAUGCAUAUGCUGUGCUCCAACGUUUCCUCAGUUGGAAACAUACAAGUCUUUUGGUGCUUGUAUGAUAUGAAGAUGAAAAACAGUAAAGCAGAGUGCUUAUCUUCAUAUUUUCAUAAUGAAAGCUCCCAAGCACAAGACACUGUGGCAGAUUUACAGCCUGUGAGCAGCAGAACUGGCAGGCAUUUUAAUAUGAAAGGAGAUAUGAUGUCUUUAAUGUACAGUGAUGUCACUUCUAACAAGGUAGAAGCCUGCUUUUUGCACUGCAAUCAUCAUAAGAAGUGAAACCUGUCUGCUUCAGGAGCGACCUCUUAACCCAGGAAAAGGUCACAAAUAAUAGAAAAGAGAAGGGACUCUGCUUCCUCAGGUGGAAGGGCACACUGACGGAGGAGCGAGGCUAUUGUGAAUGUGCAUUAUCUCCAGGAAGUUGAAGCUAGAAAUAGUCUGGCUAGAGCUAACCUUGAGAGCAGAAAAGGAAAGGAUAACGAAAAUCCUCAAGGGAGUGUUAAACUGAAAGCUAGGUAGCCUGUUGACCACCCUUUUUCCUUUUAUUCAACAUUGAUUGGACCUAAUAACUUGAAAGUGAUAUUGACAGCCAUAUAGCCUGCCAUUAGCUGGGCAACAUGAUUGUUUCACUAGGAGAGCACAGCACUCCAGUUUCAAAACUUACGUCUUUCAUUCUACAUUAGACCAACAAACAUAACACUUUGUCUAGGAAAUAUUUGCCAGUGAUUUUAAAAGCUGAUUUAAAAUGUUCUUUUCUUAAGUCCCUUCUUAAAUAUGCUUCCAGCCCCUAAGUGAAAGAUUUUAUCUAGGAAUUCUGAAGCUGUGCUGUUCUUAAACCAUGUAUGCAAGAAUAUAUGCUGAAAAGACCAUAAAAUGGCAAGAAAUCUCAAGGUGCAGUGAGUAUCUUGUGUUAGCAUUUGCCUGGUGACUGCAGUUAAAGACAGGAAGUUAAGGUAUAUGGGCAUACGUACCCUCAAGAGAGUCAGUUCCUUUAAACUGAGAUUGGAGAAAACCAACUUUUAUCACGUAAUUUGGUAUUUUGACAGUUUGUUCUUGAAAAGCAUACUAAAGGAUGAAAAAAAUACUGGCAACAUAAAAAGCAGCUCUUGAUUUCUUGCAGAAAUUGUAAUUUUAAAAGAAAAUGCUUCUCAGCAGGAACCUGAACCCUCUCGUUCUCCUAGCUGAGGUGCUGGGGCACUGAAACAGUAAUAUUCAGGUAAGGCAAAACAAAGGGGAAACCAGCGUUGGUCAGUCUGUGUAGCAUUAUCCCCAAAAGAAAGCACUGAUGUCAAUAUAGCUAUGUAUCUGCUCUCUACACAGUCUGAAAUGAUGGUUGUCUGGGAUCUUGGAGAU